GACGAACGCUGGCGGCGUGCUUAACACAUGCAAGUCGAACGGAAAGGCCCCUUUGGGGGUACUCGAGUGGCGAACGGGUGAGUAACACGUGAGUAACCUGCCCUUGACUUCGGGAUAACUUCAGGAAACUGGGGCUAAUACCGGAUAGGAAUCCUUGCUGCAUGGUGGGGGUUGGAAAGCUUCGGCGGUUUUGGAUGGACUCGCGGCUUAUCAGCUUGUUGGUGGGGUAGUGGCUUACCAAGGCUUUGACGGGUAGCCGGCCUGAGAGGGCGACCGGCCACAUUGGGACUGAGGUACGGCCGAGACUCCUACGGGAGGCAGCAGUGGGGAAUAUUGCACGAUGGGCGGAAGCCUGAUGCAGCAGCGCCGCGUGCGGGAUGACGGCCUUCGGGUUGUAAACCGCUUUCAGCAGGGGCGAAGCUUGUGGUGACGGUACCUGCAGAAGAAGCACCGGCUAACUACGUG
rnacentral:rRNA from 1 species